rnacentral:rRNA from 1 species
CCUACGGGAGGCAGCAGUGGGGAAUUUUGGACAAUGGGCGCAAGCCUGAUCCAGCCAUUCCGCGUGAGUGAAGAAGGCCUUCGGGUUGUAAAGCUCUUUCGCAAGGGAAGAAAACUUACUUUCUAAUAAAGAGUGAGGCUGACGGUACCUUGAUAAGAAGCACCGGCUAACUACGUGCCAGCAGCCGCGGUAAUACGUAGGGUGCGAGCGUUAAUCGGAAUUACUGGGCGUAAAGCGUGCGCAGGCGGUUUUGUAAGUCAGAUGUGAAAUCCCCGAGCUCAACUUGGGAACUGCGUUUGAAACUACAAGACUAGAAUAUGUCAGAGGGGGGUAGAAGUUCCACGUGUAGCAGUGAAAUGCGUAGAGAUGUGGAGGAAUACCAAUGGCGAAGGCAGCCCCCUGGGAUAAUAUUGACGCUCAUGCACGAAAGCGUGGGGAGCAAACAGGAUUAGAUACCCUGGUAGUCCACGCCCUAAACGAUGUCUACUAGUUGUUGGUGGAGUAAAAUCCAUGAGUAACGCAGCUAACGCGUGAAGUAGACCGCCUGGGGAUACGGUCGCAAGNUUAAAACUCAAAUGAAUUGACCGGNNGAGAGNGCGAGACGACGACGAGGGAGGAGG